rnacentral:lncRNA from 1 species
GGCCAGAUCAAGAAGGCCAUCCCGCCUCGCUGCUUCGAGCGCUCCGUUCUCCGCUCCUUCUCCUACGUCGUCCAUGACCUGUUCUUCGCCUCCCUCUUCCUCUACUUCGCGCUGGCCAUCAUCCCCACGCUGCCGCCAAGCAUCGUCCUCGCCGCCUGGCCGCUCUACUGGGUCGUCCAGGGUUGCGUCCUCACCGGCGUGUGGGUCAUUGCCCACGAGUGCGGCCAUCACGCCUUCUCCGACUACUCCCUCCUCGACGACGUUGUCGGCCUCGUCCUGCAUUCCGCCCUCCUCGUGCCUUACUUCUCCUGGAAGUACAGCCAUCGCCGCCACCACUCCAACACCGGCUCCAUGGAGCGCGACGAGGUCUUCGUCCCCAAGCCCAAGUCCGCCAUGCGCUGGUAUUCCACCUACCUCAACAACCCGCCCGGCCGCAUCCUGACCCUGGCCGUCACCCUCACCCUCGGCUGGCCUCUGUACCUCGCCUUCAAUGUCUCCGGCCGCGCCUACCCCCGCUUCGCCUGCCACUACGAUCCCUACGGCCCCAUCUACUCGGACCGGGAACGCGCCCAGAUCUUCAUCUCCGAUGCAGGCCUUAUGGCGGCCGUGUACGCCCUCUACCGCAUCGCCGCCAGCUACGGCUUCUGGUGGGUGGUGAGGGUGUACGGAGUGCCGCUUCUGAUCGUGAACGGGUGGCUGGUCCUCAUCACCUACCUGCAGCACACGCACCCGUCGCUGCCGCACUACGACUCGAGCGAGUGGGACUGGCUGCGCGGGGCGCUGGCGACGGUGGACAGAGACUACGGGAUUCUCAACAACGUGUUCCACAACAUCAC